CAAUAAUCAAUUGCAGUGCAUUGUUAACCUAUGAAUCUCUUUAAUCAAUGUUCCCAAGAAACACCUUGCUGAAAACUCAGUAGCACAGAGUGACCUUAAAAAAGAGUGCAUUAGCUGCUGACCACAUUAAUUAGUUUGUAUCUAGCUCAGCACUAGUCAAGGUUUGGGUUUUUUUCUACAAUCCACCGGCCACAUACAUUUUAUAUUAAACCUCACUUUUCCUGUGAAUUUGUAGGGGAUGACAUCACACAAUAUUCAGGACUUUUCAUCUCCAGCAGCGAGGGAUUUGCUGGUCGAUACACUCUGUUACAAAAGGUGACUUAUUGAUGCUGCCAGAUGAAAUGCUUGGCUGAUCUUCAGGAUAUCUUUCAGACAAUAUACAUUUACUCACCAAAGAAAUUUGGCUACUUCAGGAACGACUGUGAAGGGCUUCGUGGAAAGUAUUUGGAAAUCCCAGUAUGCUUUAUUCACUAGAUCACCCUUAUCCACAUGCUAUUGACCUUAAAAACUGUAAUACUUGAG
rnacentral:lncRNA from 1 species